GAUGAAGAACGCAGCGAAAUGCGAUAAGUAAUGUGAAUUGCAGAAUUCAGUGAAUCAUCGAAUCUUUGAACGCAUCUUGCGCUCCUUGGUAUUCUGAGGAGCAUGCCUGUUUGAGUGUCAUUAAAUUCUCAACUACACUGACUUUGAAUUGGUGUGGCUUGGAUUUGGGGGGAAAAUUGUUGUGGGCUUUUUGUAUAGUCUGCUCCCCUGAAAUUGAUUAGCGGUACCUUUGUGGAACUGUCUACAGGUGUGAUAAUUAUCUACAUCUUAGACAUCUGCUGGAAUGCUGCUUUCUAAACCUUACUUGUAUUGACAAUCUUGACCUCAAUUCAGGUAGGACUACCCGCUGAACUUAAGCAUAUCAAUAAGCGGAGGA
rnacentral:misc_RNA from 1 species